CUUGUUUAUAACUUCCCUGUUAGCGGGGUUCAGUUAGCAUCUUGAAAGCUGAAUUAGGUGUUUACACUUUCCUGAGCUGCGUGUCUGAUUAAAAUGAGUAAUCAGCAGCUCAUGUAGCACUUGUAGAAGUCUGAGGAGAUGAUUCAGCAGUUAGAAUUAGGUGUGAUUGAUCAGGAACGUAUCCAAAACCUUACGUUUCCAUUAGCACUGAAAGACUUAUUGUGCUAACCUGGGUGGGCCACGUGUACAGAUUACCGUCUGAGUUUGUGGUCUUACCUACGUGAAUACUCCAUAUUAAAAUAAAAGGAAUGAUAAUCAGCUCGUGCAAAAAUCUGUGAAGGCUGGGGAGACUUGCUUAGCUUGUGAUCACUAAUUUUUGGGCUUUGUUUUUUACAGUCAUCAGUCCAAAUAUGAAGCAUCAACAUCUACACCAUUGAAACGCCAACUGUUUAUUUCUCCAACACCAGUGCCAGCUCUGUCUAGCAUUCAUGGAGGGUCAUCUGAAAGCUAUGUUAAUUUGGAGGAGGUGAUGGAACAAGGUGAAACUAAAAAAGAAGGAUCUUCACAAAUGUUAUCUUGUGUGGGAAUUGAAGCAAACAUUGACGAGGAAGAGUUCAACAAUAUUCAAAACUCUGUGAUAGAGUCAUCAGAUGACACAUGGUCACCAAACAGAGAACCAGAAGUUGAUUCGUCUUCAGAGGAUGAUGAAACCAUCGAGAUGGACAGCGGUACUGAUGACGGUGGUGAUGAGGACUACACACCUUAUAUACACAUAAGGUAAUUCUUUUCGUUUAACAUUCUAUAAAACUGCAAUAGCGCAUAGUUAAUAAAAAGCUUUUGUUUACAGGACUGGAGCAGCAUUACAAAAAACAUUACAACUUGAGACUCUGCAAGAAAUUAACAUAGAGGACACAGUUCAUGACUGUAAUAUCCCAGAAGCAACUGACCGACGUUUGACAAGCAAGAAAGGUCUUCCUCGACGCUACAAGCUAAGGCCUGAGGAUCCAAGGCGUUAUGGUUUGCUGUCCGGAGUUCCUGCACCAUCAACAGAGGAACUUCUACAACACCUACGGACUUGCGGUGAUGGUAAAACUUUGCCACAGACAUAGGUGUUGGGGGAGGCAAGAGAAAACCCAAAACCUUCUUUAUUUUUGUUUCCUGUGUUUUUUUUUUAAAUAAAGAUAUAUUUUGGGGAAAUAAGGACUAAUAAUUUAAAAAUUUAUGUAAAAUGUUGGAGGUAGACAUAAUUUUUUGUUGUUGUGCAGGAGUUUUAAAAUUUAUGGUAUUUUUACAAAUGCAACACAGAGUUGUGCUUUAGAACACUUUAUUAGAGCAUCAAACAAAAAUAUAUAAAAACAAACUUAUGUAAAAUAUCAAAUAUAUACAUUUAUUUACAAUCGUCUUGGAAUAAAACUAGUGUAGUUACCAUUGGGGUCAGGGAAUUUUGCAGAAUAAACUCCUCCAUGUGUGGUACAGUUGAAAUACAUGUCUGGGGAGGCUGUUGGCAGCAUUUCUUUUCCAAAUCAGUUGGCAUAUCUCUGCAGUGGGAGCAUACACACCAUGAAGGUUGAUUGGGUGUUGGAGGUGUUGUGGCAGGUGGACCAGAGAGGGCAAGUACAUCAAAGAGAACACCAAUGUCUGUCCAGCACCAUAGUAAGGAUGUCAAUAGCCUGCUGAGGGUUCAGGUUCUGUAUGUGUUGCUACAAAAGUGGAAAGAGAUGCUACAGCAACAGUAUUUAGGAUCAUUUAGUGUAAUUUUGUUAUGCUUACACGUUCAAAGUCUAUUCGCUCGGAACAAAGAUUCCGAACUCGAAAGAGAUCUUCAUCUCCAAGGUCCACAGCUGAGUGUCUCACACUUCUUCGGCCUCUGGAUGCACCGCGGCCUCUAGACACACCACGGCCUCUGGAUGCACCACGGCUUUGAGAUGAUGGUGGGCAUCUCCUUUUUGCACCACGUCUUGAGGAUGCAAUAGGAGGUUCAAACUCUUCCUCAGAGGAUUCCUCAAUCACUGAACUCUAAAUU